rnacentral:rRNA from 1 species
CGAUUACGGCUCAGUAACACGUGGAUAACCUGCCCUUGGGACCGGGAUAACCCCGGGAAACUGGGGAUAAACCCGGAUAGGUGAUGCUGCCUGGAAUGGUUCUUCACCGAAACACCUUCGGGUGCCCAAGGAUGGGUCUGCGGCCGAUUAGGUUGUUGGUAGGGUAACGGCCUACCAAGCCGAUCAUCGGUACGGGUUGUGAGAGCAAGAGCCCGGAGAUGGAACCUGAGACAAGGUUCCAGGCCCUACGGGGUGCAGCAGGCGCGAAACCUCCGCAAUGUGAGAAAUCGCGACGGGGGGAUCCCAAGUGCCAUUCUUAACGGGAUGGCUUUUCAUUAGUGUAAAGAGCUUUUGGAAUAAGAGCUGGGCAAGACCGGUGCCAGCCGCCGCGGUAACACCGGCAGCUCUAGUGGUAGCAGUUUUUAUUGGGCCUAAAGCGUCCGUAGCCGGUUUAAUAAGUCUCUGGUGAAAUCCUGCAGCUUAACUGUGGGAAUUGCUGGAGAUACUAUUAGACUUGAGAUCGGGAGAGGUUAGAGGUACUCCCAGGGUAGAGGUGAAAUUCUGUAAUCCUGGG